rnacentral:lncRNA from 1 species
UGGGGCCUCAGCUAAGAAACUGAAGCUUUCUAGUGGCCACUUGGUUCACAGGCCUGCCUCCCCAACCCCAGGCCAGGGAGGAGAGGGCCCCACCCACCCUCUCUUCCAGACCUGGGGUGUCUGCUUGGAUCUGCAGGACUCUGCCUGGCCCACACUGUGGUUCAGUUCUCUCUUUGGCUGCUGCUAAGGCCUCUCCUUCUCCAACCUGGCCCCAGAUGUAAAACAGGGAACAAGGCCUCCUUCUCAAGAGGCUGGGUGUAUUCCACAUCCUUUAACCAGACCCACACAUCUGGGCAAUGGUGUUUGCUAAGUGAAUGAAUGAAUGUGAGAGUGAGCAAGCUCUAGUGAAUGCAGCAGUGGCUAUGGCCAGGUGUAUAGACACAUUGAAAGGGCCACUACAUUGGCAGGCAAGACCCCACUGAAUGGGCCUCACCCAACCCGGGCAUCCUGGGGAAAAAAAUCUGCCCGUCCCCCUUGAAAUCCUUAAAGGAAGUCCACAAAUGCUUAUUGUGGAAGUGAGUAGAGCUGGGAUUUAGCAGAAUCACCUGGGGAGUAGAAAGUUCUCAGUCUCCCAUUGCCCCUGCUUGACCCCAGGUUCUUAUUCAGUGCAAUGAGGUGUAUCCUCCUUGGUACCAGAGUAUUAAAAGUGAGCUAUGAGCCUUGAGUACCCACCUGAGUAUUGGCAGAAACCGGAGAAGGCAGCCCUGGAGAGAAGGGGAAGUUCAUGGGGACAGAGUCAGGGAUAGGGAAUGGGGUCAGUUUAUGGCCAGAAUUAAGGAUCAGUUAUGGCCAGGGUCAGAGUUACAGAGAGGCCAGACCUGGGGUCAACCCUGGGCUCAAUCUGUAGUAAAAGUUGGAAAGUAAAGUAUGGAAAUUGCAAGAGAAAACUGGGAGGCAGAAGAGGUCUGCUUUUUAAGAUGCUAAUUUGCCCAUAAAUGAUGAGUGUCAGGACCAGUGGGUCCAUGGAGAGAAGGCCAGGUCUGAAGGACAGUGACGAAGACCGGGAGCUGCUUUCCUGGCUCUGGAAAAGGCCCAGAUCCCCACACACUCUGGGCAGGAGCCCUGGUGCAAAGGGCAGGGACAGCUGCAUUAUUUUCUGGAACAAAGUGGAGCUUCAUGAAUAGUCCAUCCUGUGACUUGCCUGAGUGAGAAAGCAAGGGACAAGGGGCAAAGUGGGGGAGUUGAAAGGAGGCGAGUCCCCUCUAUGGAAUAUCCAGGCAGAGAACAGAAACAGACACAGCCAAAGGCAAAGACUGAGAGAGGCUGAGAGGACCACAAGAGGAAGAUGGAGACAGGGGCCAGAAAUAGGAGCCCCAGGGAGGAAAGCAGGAAGAUUCAAAGAUAUAACAGACAGAUUUAGAUGGAG